UACAGAGGUCCCAAGCGUUGUUCGGAUUUACUGGGCGUAAAGGGUGCGUAGGUGGCGGGGUAAGUCUGGUGUGAAAGCUCCGAGCUCAACUCGGAAAAGCAUUGGAAACUAUCCCGCUAGAGGGUCGGAGGGGAGACUGGAAUUCUCGGUGUAGCAGUGAAAUGCGUAGAUAUCGAGAGGAAGACCAGUGGCGAAGGCGGGUCUCUGGACAGUUCCUGACACUGAGGCACGAAGGCCAGGGGAGCAAACGGG
rnacentral:rRNA from 1 species